rnacentral:rRNA from 1 species
AGUGAACGCUGGCGGUAGGCCUCACACGUGCAAGUCGAACGGCAGCACAGUAAGAGCUUGCUCUUACGGGUGGCGAGUGGCGGACGGGUGAGGAAUACAUCGGAAUCUACUUUUUCGUGGGGGAUAACGUAGGGAAACUUACGCUAAUACCGCAUACGACCUACGGGUGAAAGCAGGGGAUCUUCGGACCUUGCGCGAUUGAAUGAGCCGAUGUCGGAUUAGCUAGUUGGCGGGGUAAAGGCCCACCAAGGCGACGAUCCGUAGCUGGUCUGAGAGGAUGAUCAGCCACACUGGAACUGAGACACGGUCCAGACUCCUACGGGAGGCAGCAGUGGGGAAUAUUGGACAAUGGGCGCAAGCCUGAUCCAGCCAUACCGCGUGGGUGAAGAAGGCCUUCGGGUUGUAAAGCCCUUUUGUUGGGAAAGAAAAGCAGCAGGUUAAUACCCCGCUGUUCUGACGGUACCCAAAGAAUAAGCACCGGCUAACUUCGUG